UACGUAGGUGGCAAGCGUUAUCCGGAUUUACUGGGUGUAAAGGGCGUGUAGGCGGGACUGCAAGUCAGAUGUGAAACCCAUGGGCUCAACCCAUGGCCUGCAUUUGAAACUGUAGUUCUUGAGUGAUAGAGAGGCAGGCGGAAUUCCGUGUGUAGCGGUGAAAUGCGUAGAUAUACGGAGGAACACCAGUGGCGAAGGCGGCCUGCUGGACAUUAACUGACGCUGAGGCGCGAAAGCGUGGGGAGCAAACAGG
rnacentral:rRNA from 1 species